GGCAACGUCGCCGAGCGGUUAAGGCGGAAGAUUAGAAAUCUUUUGGACUCUGCCUGCGCAGGUUUGAGUCCUGCCGUUGUCG
rnacentral:tRNA from 1 species